UACGUAGGGACCGAGCGUUGUCCGGAAUCAUUGGGCGUAAAGAGCGUGUAGGCGGCCACUUAAGUCCUGCGUGAAAUCUUGCGGCUCAACCGCAAGCGGUCGUGGGAAACUGGGUGGCUAGAGUGCGGGAGAGGAGAGUGGAAUUCCUGGUGUAGCGGUGGAAUGCGCAGAUAUCAGGAAGAACACCAGUGGCGAAGGCGACUUUCUGGCCUGUUCUUGACGCUGAGGCGCGAAAGCUAGGGGAGCAAACGGG
rnacentral:rRNA from 1 species